AUUGAACGCUGGCGGCAGGCCUAACACAUGCAAGUCGAACGAGCGGCGGACGGGUGAGUAAUGUCUGGGAAACUGCCUGAUGGAGGGGGAUAACUACUGGAAACGGUAGCUAAUACCGCAUACCAUCAGCUUUUCCCAGAUGGGAUUAGCUAGUAGGUGGGGUACCGACUCACCUAGGCGACGCUCCCUAGCUGGUCUGAGAGGAUGAACAGCCAAACGGGAACUGAGACACGGUCCAGACUCUUACGGGAGGCAGCAGGGGGGAAUAUUGCACAAUGGGAGCAAGCCUGAUGCAGCCAUGCCGCGGGUGUGAAGAAGGCCUGCGGGUUGUAAAGUACUUUCAGCGGGGAGGCGUUACCCGCAGAAGAAGCACCGGCUAACUCCGUGCCAGCAGCCGCGGUAAUAC
rnacentral:rRNA from 1 species